rnacentral:rRNA from 1 species
GACGAACGCUGGCGGCAUGCCUAAUACAUGCAAGUCGAGCGGAGUUAUGAUGGAGAUUGCUCCUGAUUAACUUAGCGGCGGACGGGUGAGUAACACGUAGGCAACCUGCCCUCAAGACUGGGAUAACUACCGGAAACGGUAGCUAAUACCGGAUAAUUUCUUUCCUCUCCUGAAGAGAGAAUGAAAGGCGGAGCAAUCUGCUACUUGGGGAUGGGCCUGCGGCGCAUUAGCUAGUUGGUGGGGUAACGGCUCACCAAGGCGACGAUGCGUAGCCGACCUGAGAGGGUGAACGGCCACACUGGGACUGAGACACGGCCCAG